GCCUCUGUAGCUCAGUUGAGAAGUAGCGCUUGGUUUACAUCCAAGAGGUCGUAGGUUCGAGUCCUACCAGGGGUAC
rnacentral:tRNA from 1 species